GGAAAUGUAGCUCAGCGGCAGAGUGCCUGCCUAGCAAGCACCAAGCUCUGGGUUUGAUCCCCAGCACUGCCA
rnacentral:tRNA from 1 species